rnacentral:rRNA from 1 species
AGAACGAACGCUGGCGGCAGGCCUAACACGAUGCAAGUCGAACGAGAAGCCACCUUCGGGUGGUGGACAGUGGCAGACGGGUGAGUAACGCGUGGGAACGUGCCUUUCGGUUCGGGAUAACCCAGGGAAACUUGGGCUAAUACCGGAUACGCCCUCCGGGGGAAAAGAUUCGAUCGCCGAAAGAUCGGCCCGGCGUCGGAUUAGCUAGUUGGUAGGGUAAUGGCCUACCAAGGCGACGAUCCGUAGCUGGUCUGAGAGGAUGACCAGCCACACUGGGACUGAGACACGGCCCAGACUCCUACGGGAGGCAGCAGUGGGGAAUAUUGGACAAUGGGCGAAAGCCCUGAUCCAGCCAUGCCGCGUGGGUGAAGAAGGCCUUAGGGUUGUAAACCCCUUUCAGCGGGGAAGAUAAUGACGGUACCCGCAGAAGAAGUCCCGGCUAACUCCGUGCCAGCCGCUGC